CAUAUACUCCCUCCGUCAAAAAAUACUUGUCGAAAAAAUGAAUAAAAAUGGAUAUAUCUAGAACUAAAAUACAUCUAGAUACAUCCAUUUUCCCGACAAGUAUUUCCGGACGGAGGGAGUACUAU
rfam:Triticum aestivum genome assembly, contig: Triticum_aestivum_CS42_TGACv1_scaffold_406413_5BL